rnacentral:rRNA from 1 species
UUUUCCAAAAACAUAUUUAAUAGAAUUAAUUAUUAAUAAAACCUGCUCAAUGAAUUUUAAAUAGCCGCAGCUCAUACUGUGCUAAGGUAGCAUAAUCAUUUGUCUUUUAAUUAAAGACUAGAAUGAAAGGUUAAACAUUUAAAUAAUAAUAAUUUAUUUACAUUUUAAAUUUAUUUUAAAUGUUAAAAAACAUUUAUAAUGUAGAAAGACGACAAGACCCUAUUGAACUUCACUUUAGUUUAACUGGGGCAGUUAAUUAAAUAAUACUUUAAAUAUUUAAUACUAAAUGACCCAAUCAAAUUGAUUUUAUGAUCAAGCUACCAUAGGGAUAACAGCGUAAUAUUUUUCUAUAGAUCUUAUAUAAAAGAAUGAUUGCGACCUCGAUGUUGAAUUAAUUUAUCUAAUAAAUGCAUCAAUUUAUAAAGAAAGUCUGUUCGACUUUUAAACUAUUACAUGAUCUGAG